ensembl:lncRNA
GCCCUGGCUGUCGGGCAGCCCUGGGCCAGUGACCUGCCCCCACCUGCGGAAUGUAGAGGGCGGAAGCGGCACCCGCCCCUGGCCUGUUUUCAGGGUGCAGGACGCCGCGGCAGUGGCUGCCGAGAAGAAGCUGCGUCUGGGUGAAACGCACCCUGCGUCUCCAGCGCCGCUGCCCAACCCAGCUGGCGGAGCCUCGCCGCAGCGCCUGCCUUCCCCGACUCGUUCCACCAGCAGACCAGGUCGUCUGAGCAGUGGCAAGCCCCACCCACAGAGAUCUCAGAGAUCGCCCUUUGGAAUGACAAAGAAGCGUGGCCUAGAACUGUUCUGCCUAAUUGUCCCUCAUGCUAAAUAGGCGGAUCUCCAGGCGUCGCCAAGGAGGGGGCUGCUAAGGGGAUGAGCUGAAAAGCGGGGAGGGGAGAGACCAGCCGCUGCCCACGUGCUGUGACCCAAGGGCCACCGGGGACCCUCCCCCAGCCCUGGGGCGACCCCGCCCUUGGGUGUGCGGGGUCUCCAGCCCUCUCCACCACACCUCCGCCCCGCCUGGCGCACUGCCUGGUUUGCCUAAUUCCCCGGACCAGACCGAGAGGCCGCUUCGCUGAGGACACGCAGCCGUCUCCAGCCCUUUAGUCCGGGCGGCUCCCGACCCACCCGCUGCCCGUGGGGCUCUUGCGGGCCCGGCCGGAGGCCGCCAGCUGGGCAGGUGCAGCCGGGAGCAGCGCGCGCUCGGUGAGUCGCCCGAGCGGCUCUGGAAGAGUUGAUGGGGAUCAAGGAGGAAGGAGGGAAGGUCAGGGAGGAAGGUGGUUGUUUCCGUUCCUAGCUUUGCUAGCUGCCCAGAGACCAGCAGAAGCUAGGGACUCGGGAGGCAGGCCAGGGAGCUACCGCCUCCACGGUUUUAGGGGCAAAUUUCCCCAAACUGGGAUCCACUGGCUCUGAGCACUGACCUGCCCCAACCUAGAGACAGGAAGCUCGCCGUGAGGUUUUCUCAGGAAAAGGAAGGGAGGCGGGGGAUAUCCUCCACCAUGGAGCACUAGCUCUGAACCCAGAUAGAGGCCUAGACUUAAAUCCUUUCCUACUACUCUGCUGCUGGGGGGUUCUGUAACUUUACUGAGCCUCACUUCCCCAUCUAUAAAAUGCGAAUAUAAUGCUGCCUCCCAGGGUCCCUGUGAAGAUGAAAUCAAAAGGUGCUGUAAAAUGCUGCACAGAUAGUUCUGCAUUUGCCAGAGAAGAAUCACUAUUUCUGGUCUCAGGGGGUGCACUUUGGGCCAGGCCUAUCCUCUCCAAGCGUGAGGGGGUGGCCUCCCUGACCAGGAAUCCCAUGGGAACACAGACAAGAGCACUGCUGCAGGACACCCUGCGGCCCUGUGGUCAGUGGCUGUUCAGGCCUUUGCGUGGGCCGCACAAUCGACAAGGACAGCUUUCCUUACGGAGGACAUCCCUCACCAGACCUUCUUCCCAGACACCUCCUCAGAAAACUGAGAACCCUGUUGAAAUUAUGAACACCUGAAAACUCCCUGCUACAGAGCCAAGUUCUCAUUUUGCAGGUGGGAACUGCAAGGUCAGGGAUGGUUACAUGAUGUUAUGAGUUGGUAGAACUACCUUCCUCUCGUCUACUCUCUCUUAUGUGUGUUUAAUGCUGCGUGCUGCCUUCUCUGUUAAACAAAGGAUAAAUGUGGAGCCGUCUGGGCAGCCAGAGAAGAAGGCACCAGGGUCAGACUGGCAUGCUCCCAGGAAAGAGCGCUCUGCAGGGUGUUACUGGGGCCCUCUGGGUCCAGGUGAGGAUGGAAUGCAGCACCAAACAGGAAAAUAGACUCGGGAAAGCCGCCCUCACUCUCUGCCCCUGGGGUGGACCCUGGAGUUUGGAACAAGACCUUGCCCUAGAGGGACCUGGUCCUGGCCAGUUUCGAGCCAGAGAAGACUAUUAUUUGCCUGUUGAGCAGGGGCCCCCUUCUCCAACACUUCCUUCCACGCAGUCUUUAAAACCUACCCCUAGCACAGGAUCCGGAUGCGGAUCCCGAUCCGGAGAGGGCUGAACCUUCAGCUUGCUGCCCUUUCCUGUAAGCAACAAUCUGGCAGUUCUGUCAGGAAGAGUUUAAGUUGGAAGAUAACAUGCGAUGGCUGCCAUUCUGGGCCAUGCUCCUUCACAGCUGCGUCCCCAGAGCAAGAUGCUGCGCUCACUGAAAGGGUGUCCUGCAAAGGAAGCAAUAUGAGCGAAGAAUAGAGGAGACUACAGGAAAACGUCAUGUUUCUGGAGCGCCAAGCUCUGUACACAAAGAGGUGAGAGUGGAGGCUGGAGAGAUUGCUGGCGGCCUUGGGGAGCCUUGGAAGUCAUAAUCAGGAACGUGGACUUGGUCCUGAGGGUGGUGAGGGGCUGACCACCCCCCUUCAGAGGUUUUAUACAGGAGAGUAACGCGCGCUCUCUGGCUGUAGUUAGGAGUGUGGGUUCAGGUGGG